rnacentral:rRNA from 1 species
CGGAUCAGCAUGUCGCGGUGAAUACGUUCUCGGGGUUUGUACACACCGCCCGUCACACCACGAAAGUUGGCAAUACCCCAAAACGGUAGCCUAACUCGUUUAUUCGAGAGGGCGCCGUCUAAGGUAGGGUCGAUGAUUGGGGUUAAGUCGUAACAAGGUAUCCCUACCGGAAGGUGGGGAUGGAUCACCUCCUUU